rnacentral:tRNA from 1 species
AGUAGAGUCAGCUAAUUAAGCUUUCGGGCCCAUGCCCCGACAAUGUUGGUUACCACCCCCUCCUGUACUA